CGAUAUGUAAGUUAGUGGCGGACGGGUGAGUAACGCGUGGGUAACCUGCCUUGUACUGGGGGACAACAGUUGGAAACGACUGCUAAUACCGCAUAAGCGCACAGUACCGCAUGGUACCGUGUGAAAAACUCCGGUGGUAUGAGAUGGACCCGCGUCUGAUUAGGUAGUUGGUGGGGUAACGGCCUACCAAGCCGACGAUCAGUAGCCGACCUGAGAGGGUGACCGGCCACAUUGGGACUGAGACACGGCCCAAACUCCUACGGGAGGCAGCAUG
rnacentral:rRNA from 1 species